GGCAGGACUUGGAUUCUUUCUGUCAGAGAUGGCCUGGAUACUGGGCUUGUUGCAGUGGGAUUAAGACUCCUUAGGGUGACAGGACUUCCUUCAAGCCCUGGGCUGCCUUCUUUGUGUCUCUUCAGGCUCGAGGCUGUGUGACCCUACACUCAGGAGAAGUUGGCUCCAGCACCAUGAGAGGGGUCUUCACGGUGGUGGUCACUACAGCACUGGCCAUUGCAGCUGUAGAGUCCCUCAGCUGCACUCAGUGUAAUUCACUUACAAACUCCUGUAUCAACGCCAGUGCCUCCGAAUGUCCUUCGGAUGCCAGCAACAGCUGUGUCAGUUCCUCGGCCAACUCCUCUCUAGGAGGAAAAAUCAGAAUGCAGCAGGAAAUGUUCUGCUCAGCAGCCGACUGCAGCGGGGAGACAGACUUGCUCCUAGCCUUCUCUGUCCACGUGUCUGAUGGAGAACGCUUCAAUUUCGCGAGCCAGUGCUGCCAAGAAAAGGCCUGUGAUGUCGCCUACAGUACCCUGGGUUUGUGCUGGGCAUGGGGCGGCCCCUCCUGUGUCCUGCAAGCCCUGGCCAUUUGCCAUCUGCACUCCUGGCCCCUGUGUGACUGUUUGGAGCCCAGGCACUUCGGUGCAUAGCCAGACGGCACUCACAU
rnacentral:lncRNA from 1 species